GACGAACGCUGGCGGCGUGCUUAACACAUGCAAGUCGAACGGUGAAGCGCCUUCCUUUUUGGUGGGUGUGGAUGAGUGGCGAACGGGUGAGUAACACGUGAGUAACCUGCCCCCUUCUUCUGGAUAACCGCAUGAAAGUGUGGCUAAUACGGGAUAUUCUGGGUCUGUCGCAUGAUGGGUCUGGGAAAGAUAUUGUUUCGGUGGGGGAUGGGCUCGCGGCCUAUCAGCUUGUUGGGGGGGUGAUGGCCUACCAAGGCGGUGACGGGUAGCCGGCCUGGGAGGGUGGACGGUCACACUGGGACUGAGACACGGCCCAGACUCCUACGGGAGGCAGCAGUGGGGAAUAUUGCACAGUGGGCGCAAGCCUGAUGCAGCGACGCCGCGUGAGGGAUGGAGGCCUUCGGGUUGUGAACCUCUUUCGCCAGUGAAGCAGGCCUGCCUCGUUUGUGGGUGGGUUGACGGUAGCUGGAUAAGAAGCGCCGGCUAACUACGUG
rnacentral:rRNA from 1 species